AGCUAUAUAAGGGGAAUAUAAAUUUAACUUAAGUUUUUAGAUAGAAACAUCCAUUAAUUAAGUAAAGGGGAUUAAAAAUUAAUUUUUCCAACCCAACUUAAGUACUGCAAAGGAAUAGACUUAGCUAUUUACUAGUAGUUGUAAAUAAACGUACCUUUUGUAUCAUGGCUUAGCUAGAUCUAUAGCUUAAAAUAUAAGUAUCUCGAAUUCUAAUGAGCGAUCUUUGGUUCUUGUUUUAGCAAGCGCAAGAAUAACUGUGGCAAAAUUUUUCUUAAAACCAAAGAUAGAAAUGAUAUUUUAUUCGCAUUAGAAGAUAGCUAGUUUCUUUAUAAAGGCAUAGAAGUGCCGGUUAUGCAUGCUUAGUUUCAGAAUCUCUUGGUACUAAGUUAGGCAUAUCUAAGACUUUUGAGGAUAAGCUCAAAAGUAUAGUAUAAAUUAGAUAAUAUAUUCUUUUUUUAAAUUUAAGCUUGAAAUUAGCUAGAAUAUAAAACUUGUUAUAAAGUAUACCAAAUGAAAAGAAAAGAUUGAUAUUAUAAAAUUUAAAUGAAGAAAAACUUACGAAUUAAAAGAAGUUUUUUUAAUGCUAAGAUGAGUAUUAUUAAAGAUAUUAUAUUUUAGUUUACUUGAAACUAAAAUUUAGUAUAAUAUUCAAAAUAAAAAUUUUGUAAAGGAACUCGGCAAAAUUAGCUGCUCUGCCUGUUUAUCAAAAACAUGGCUCUUUGUUAUAUUAUUAUAAGGAGUCGGACCUGCCCGGUGAAAAUAUUUUAACGGCCGCGGUACUCUGACCGUGCAAAGGUAGCAUAAUCAUUUGCCCUAUAAUUAAGGGCUAGUAUGAAUGGUUUGACAAGAGUAGCACUGUCUCUACAAAAAUUCCUAGAAUUUAAUGUUCAAGUGAAGAAUCUUGAAUUAAAUUAAUAGACAAGAAGACCCUAUCGAGCUUAAAAAAAUUAAGUGGGCUUAUACUUAAGCUAUAUUUUGCAUUUUUUUCCACUUAAAAAUUUUGGUUGGGGCGACUAAGGAACAACUAAAGCUUCCUAAAUACUAUUAACCUAUAAGUUUUGAUCCGAUUAUUUCGAUUAAAAGAAUUAGUUACCGUAGGGAUAACAGCAUAAUCCUUUUUGAGAGCUCCCAUCGAAAAAAGGGUUUGUGACCUCGAUGUUGGACUAGAAUAUCCAGAAGAUGCAGAAGUCUUCAAGGGUUGGUCUGUUCGACCAUUAAAAUUCUACAUGAUCUGAGUUCAGACCGGCGUGAGCCAGGUCAGUUUCUAUCUUUAAUUAGUUUGCCUAAACUCAGUACGAAAGGACCUGUUUAGGACAAUAUUUGUAUACACUUGAUGAAGUAUAAUUUAUGUAUAAGUAAGUAGUAAAUAUAAUUUAAAAUUGAUUAAAAAUAAAGAUGGCAGAAAAGUGCAUUAGGUUUAAGCCCUAAAUAUAAAGAAGUAUUAAUUCUUUUCUUUAUAAUACUCCCAAUUUUCGAUAAAGAUGGCAGAAAAGUGCAUUAGGUUUAGAACCUAAAUAUAAAGACAAUAUCUCUUUUCUUUAUAAUGGCUUAUGUAUUGAUUUCCUCUUUGUUCACCUAUGUUUGUAUUUUACUCGCAGUCGCUUUUUUUACUCUCUUAGAACGGAAAGGAUUGAGAUAUAUACAGAUUCGUAAGGGGCCAAAUAAGGUAGGCUUUGCAGGGCUGCCCCAGCCCUUAGCAGAUGCCUUUAAGCUACUUACCAAAGAAAUUGCUAAACCAUCUAUAGCAAAUCGUCUGCCUUAUUUUAUUGCUCCUAUAUUUAGAUUUUUUCUAGCUCUUUUACUUUGGCAACUUUAUCCAAGAAUUUACUCACUCGGUUAUUUUAAGUCAGGAAUUAUAUUU
rnacentral:rRNA from 1 species